GAUAGAGCUCACCACAAGUUGAAAUCAAUAGUGCACACACUAUCCUUUGGUUAUGGGACAUUUGCCUAACAAAGGUUUCCCUUCAAGGGAGAUGGAAAAGAAAUUUCUUAAUCUAUUUCAAGGAGAACGAUUGUGGACAAAUAUGAGACUAAAUUUGAUAGACUAUCCUACUUUGCUCCUGCACUAGCCAUAAAUGAUGAAUUUAAGAUGAAGAGAUUAGAGGAAGG
rnacentral:lncRNA from 1 species